GAUGAAGAACGCAGUGAAAUGCGAUAGGUAAUGUGAAUUGCAGAAUUCAGUGAAUCAUCGAAUCUUUGAACGCACAUUGCGCCCGCUAGUAUUCUGGCGGGCAUGCCUGUCCGAGCGUCAUUUCAACCCUCAAGCCCCCGGGCUUGGUGUUGGGGAUCGGCGAGCCUCCGCGCCCGCCGUCCCCUAAAUCUAGUGGCGGUCUCGCUGUAGCUUCCUCUGCGUAGUAGCACACCUCGCACUGGGAAACAGCGCGGCCACGCCGUUAAACCCCCAACUUCUGAACGUUUGACCUCGGAUCAGGUAGGAAUACCCGCUGAACUUAAGCAUAUCAAUAAGCGGAGGA
rnacentral:misc_RNA from 1 species